rnacentral:rRNA from 1 species
CAAUAUAAGUGAUGGCGACCGGCGCACGGGUGAGUAACACGUAUCCAACCUGCCGAUAACUUGGGGAUAGCCUUUCGAAAGAAAGAUUAAUACCCGAUGGUAUAAUAAAACCGCAUGGUUUAAUUAUUAAAGAAUUUCGGUUAUCGAUGGGGAUGCGUUCCAUUAGGCAGUUGGUGAGGUAACGGCUCACCAAACCUUCGAUGGAUAGGGGUUCUGAGAGGAAGGUCCCCCACAUUGGAACUGAGACACGGUCCAA